CCCGGUAGCUAAAUGCGGAAGAGAUAAGUGCUGAAAGCAUCUAAGCACGAAACUUGCCCCGAGAUGAGUUCUCCCUGAGACUUAGAGUCUCCUGAAGGAACGUUGAAGACGACGACGUUGAUAGGCCGGGUGUGUAAGCGCAGCGAUGCGUUGAGCUAACCGGUACUAAUGAACCGUGAGGCUUAACCUU
rnacentral:rRNA from 1 species